rnacentral:rRNA from 1 species
CGGAAUCUGCCUAUUUGUGGGGGAUAACGUAGGGAAACUUACGCUAAUACCGCAUACGACCUACGGGUGAAAGCGGAGGACCUUCGGGCUUCGCGCAGAUAGAUGAGCCGAUGUCGGAUUAGCUAGUUGGCGGGGUAAAGGCCCACCAAGGCGACGAUCCGUAGCUGGUCUGAGAGGAUGAUCAACCACACUGGAACUGAGACACGGUCCAGACUCCUACGGGAGGCAGCAGUGGGGAAUAUUGGACAAUGGGCGCAAGCCUGAUCCAGCCAUGCCGCGUGGGUGAAGAAGGCCUUCGGGUUGUAAAGCCCUUUUGUUGGGAAAGAAAAGCAGUCGGUUAAUACCCGAUUGUUCUGACGGUACCCAAAGAAUAAGCACCGGCUAACUUCGUGCCAGCAGCCGCGGUAAUACGAAGGGUGCAAGCGUUACUCGGAAUUACUGGGCGUAAAGCGUGCGUAGGUGGUUUGUUAAGUCUGAUGUGAAAGCCCUGGGCUCAACCUGGGAAUUGCAUUGGAUACUGGCAGGCUAGAGUGCGGUAGAGGGUAGUGGAAUUCCCGGU